rnacentral:rRNA from 1 species
GACGAACGCUGGCGGCGUGCUUAACACAUGCAAGUCGAACGAGAGGACAAGAGAAGCUUGCUUCUUUUGGAAUCGAGUGGCAAACGGGUGAGUAACACGUAAACAACCUGCCUUCAGGAUGGGGACAACAGACGGAAACGACUGCUAAUACCGAAUACGCUUGGGAGACCGCAUGAUCUACCAAGGAAAGGGUGGCCUCUACCUGUAAGCUAUCGCCUGAAGAGGGGUUUGCGUCUGAUUAGGCAGUUGGUGAGGUAACGGCCCACCAAACCUACGAUCAGUAGCCGGUCUGAGAGGAUGAACGGCCACACUGGAACUGAGACACGGUCCAGACUCCUACGGGAGGCAGCAGUGGGGAAUCUUCCGCAAUGGGCGAAAGCCUGACGGAGCAACGCCGCGUGAGUGAUGACGGCCUCGGGUUGUAAACUGCUUUAUAAGGGUAAGUAAAGUAGGGAGUCGU